UACGGGGGGAGCAAGCGUUGUUCGGAUUUACUGGGCGUAAAGGGCGCGUAGGCGGCCUGUGCAAGUCAGUUGUGAAAUCUCCGGGCUUAACUCGGAACGGUCAACUGAUACUGCUCGGCUAGAGUGCGGAAGGGGCAACUGGAAUUCUUGGUGUAGCGGUGAAAUGCGUAGAUAUCAGGAGGAAUACCGGUGGCGAAAGCGACUCUCUGGACGGUAACUGACGCUGAGGCACGAAAGCGUGGGGAGCAAACAGG
rnacentral:rRNA from 1 species